UAACACUAACUGGAGGACCGAACCGACUAAUGUUGAAAAAUUAGCGGAUGACCUGUGGCUGGGGGUGAAAGGCCAAUCAAACCGGGAGAUAGCUGGUUCUCCCCGAAAGCUAUUUAGGUAGCGCCUCGUGAAUUCAUCUCCGGGGGUAGAGCACUGUUUCGGCUAGGGGGCCAUCCCGGCUUACCAACCCGAUGCAAACUGCGAAUACCGGAGAAUGUUAUCACGGGAGACACACGGCGGGUGCUAACGUCCGUCGUGAAGAGGGAAACAACCCAGACCGCCAGCUAAGGUCCCAAAGUCAUGGUUAAGUGGGAAACGAUGUGGGAAGGCCCAGACAGCCAGGAUGUUGGCUUAGAAGCAGCCAUCAUUUAAAGAAAGCGUAAUAGCUCACUGGUCGAGUCGGCCUGCGCGGAAGAUGUAACGGGGCUAAACCAUGCACCGAAGCUGCGGCAGCGACACUGUGUGUUGUUGGGUAGGGGAGCGUUCUGUAAGCCUGUGAAGGUGUGUCGUGAGGCAUGCUGGAGGUAUCAGAAGUGCGAAUGCUGACAUAAGUAACGAUAAAGCGGGUGAAAAGCCCGCUCGCCGGAAGACCAAGGGUUCCUGUCCAACGUUAAUCGGGGCAGGGUGAGUCGACCCCUAAGGCGAGGCCGAAAGGCGUAGUCGAUGGGAAACGGGUUAAUAUUCCCGUACUUGGUGUUACUGCGAAGGGGGGACGGAGAAGGCUAUGUUGGCCGGGCGACGGUUGUCCCGGUUUAAGCGUGUAGGCUGGUUUUCCAGGCAAAUCCGGAAAAUCAAGGCUGAGGCGUGA
rnacentral:rRNA from 1 species